AUGAUAUAGGCUUAUUGUCCUGUUAGUAUAUCCCUCCUCUCUGAGAGCAACAAGCAGUAGCUCAGGACAAAAACCAUCUGCUACUUGCUUUUGACUACUGGGCUUCUUGUUUGGUGGUUACUAUUCUUUCAGGAAUGCAACUAUCCUUAAUUCCCCUUCCAAGAAAGCAGACUUUCUCUCUCAAAGCCAGAGACAAUCUCUUGAGCCUCAGACUCUACAGUGGGAAGAAGAAGGAGAGCUACUCUACCUAUAUAUACAAAGUCCUAACUCAAGCAAGAACAUCCCAUUCAUGCCAGGAUCUGAUAUUGAUACUCCCUUCUCUGACAGACUGAGGACAUGGGGGUCUUCUGCUGGGUGGCUGAUGCUCUGAAAUCUCUGAACAAGCCCUAUCUGUUUGGGAAAGUAGCUUUAGAGGCUGCCAGGCUGUCUCACUACAAAAAAAGAAGCCUUAUUGCCCAGAAGGAGGUCCAUGCUGCAAUGAAGCUGGUACUUCUGAGUGAGCUCUCUGAGCAAGACUUGUCUGAAACAAUUUAAAGCAGUAACUAAGUAAACUGGUUCAAAAUAAACUGUUCAAUAUGUGUAAUUUUUUUUAACAUUUUAUGGAGAUGUAACUUUUUAAUGUAUCUAUUUGAUUUGUAAUAAAGUGUUUGUCUGAUG